GGCGCAGGUGCGCGGCUGAGCUCUGCCUCGUCCCUGCCUUUAAAGGACACCGCGUGGGGUGGGGGCCUGAGAUUUGGGUUCUAGUUGCCUCCCUCCCUCCCUAAGCUCACUGGCUUUAUUCCUGAAGAGUGGACAGUAAUACUUGCCCCACCCCCACCCGUGCUCGGGGCAGUGACUACCCCAAACUCAUUGGGAACCCAGGGCGCCCUGUAUAGGGGGAGAAGCCAAACAGCCCCACCCCGAUUCUAUGGAUGUAGGGGAGUCUCUGCGGAAUUGGAGGGGUGGCAAGGUCAGGAAGCAGCCCAGCGGGGAUUUGAGGCAGUCCAUUUAACGGCAGUGCGCAACGAGUCAUUACCCAGCCUUUUCUCUUCGUGCCUUCUUGGGGGGCGGGGAGGGGGAUGCAAGGAACUUGCCACUUCCUCUGGGAGUCUGUCCCUAAGUGGCAUCCCCCAUGCCCCUAAGUCAGGGUUGGGGCUUCUGUUCUGGGCUUACAGAGCAGCGUGAGCUAUCCUGUCCUAGCACUGUUUUGGAUGGCCCGAGGGCAAGGACCACGCAUGCGCCCAGUGCAUCCUGAAGACUCACCCAAUGGCAACGAGAGAUUUGGGGAAUUGAGAAGGACCCUGCCACCUGGAACCACGCGGGGCGGUGUUGACGUGAGGCAUCGAACCCGGCCACAUCCCCGGCACGGUGAACAUCCCCUUCACGGACUUCCUGACCAAGGAGGGCCUGGAGAAGAGCCCCGAGGAGAUCCACCGUCUGUUCCAGGACAAGAAGGUGGACUUGUCCCAGCCACUGGUGGCCACGUGUGGCUCCGGCGUCACAGCCUGCCAUGUGGCACUGGGGGCCUACCUGUGUGGGAAGCCCGACGUGGCCAUCUACGACGGCUCCUGGGUGGAGUGGUACAUGCGUGCCCAGCCAGAGGAAGUCAUCUCCGAGGGCCGGGGGAAGACCCACUGAGGCUGGGCAGGACACAGGGAGCUGUGCCCGGCCUGGUUGUUCUGACUCUGCUUUGACCGAGUGCGUGUGUCUUCCUGUGAGUCGGGUGGUGCACAGGGGGACAUCCCGGAGGCCAGGAGUUCCGUUGCUUGUGAGCUUCCAGUGGAGACAGGAGAGAAGGUGGUGAUGGGCACAGGGGAAGGCAGCUGCCCCACACGCCGAGCUGGGGCCCUACCUCCCUUCUCUUUCACUGUUGAGGAAAUAAAACAGCCACGUGCUAAAUCUUUCUAAUUGGG
rnacentral:lncRNA from 1 species